rnacentral:lncRNA from 1 species
GGAGGGAAACAAGGGUGGGGGCAGGGAGGCAAACGGUUAUUCUUAUGAGGCUCUAAUAACUGCUCAGCACCCAUAUGUUUUAUACCAGAUAAGGUAAAUCUUUGAAAAGAGGGAAUGGAGGAGAGUCAAGCAGGAAGAGUGAUUGAUCCUGUCUUGAGCGUGUUCUGCACUUGGGAAGGAAACAGCCAUCAGCACCCCGGUAACAACCUGAGUCGAGAUCACAGGCUGAGAUGAAUACAAACAGCGUUUGGUUUCUGAGAAGGCCACUUUCCUUCCAGUUCACUCCUGUUCCUAGGGAAUAAUCUUCCUCAUGGUCCUGACCCAAAAGGUAGGCAGUCUAUCAGGCGUCUACCUUGGUGGAGCCUGGACAUCAACUUGUGUCCACCUAACCCUGUGACACUGUCAGACGUGGCUCUCAGGCACCUCUUCCGUAACGUACAGACAGGCCCCACAACAAAGCAGCCCAUGCCACACACACCUGCCGAGGCUCCUAC